UACGUAGGGUGCGAGCGUUGUCCGGAAUUACUGGGCGUAAAGAGCUCGUAGGUGGUUUGUCGCGUUGUUCGUGAAAACCUGAGGCUUAACCUUGGGCGUGCGGGCGAUACGGGCAGACUGGAGUACUGCAGGGGAGACUGGAAUUCCUGGUGUAGCGGUGGAAUGCGCAGAUAUCAGGAGGAACACCGGUGGCGAAGGCGGGGUCUCUGGGCAGUAACUGACGCUGAGGAGCGAAAGCGUGGGGAGCGAACAGG
rnacentral:rRNA from 1 species